rnacentral:rRNA from 1 species
GACGUAGGGUCCAAGCGUUGUCCGGAUUUACUGGGCGUAAAGCGCACGUAGGCGGCUUUGCAAGUUAGAGGUGAAAGCCCGGGGCUCAACUCCGGAAUUGCCUUUAAAACUGCAUCGCUAGAAUUGUGGAGAGGUAAGUGGAAUUCCGAGUGUAGAGGUGAAAUUCGUAGAUAUUCGGAAGAACACCAGUGGCGAAGGCGACUUACUGGACACAUAUUGACGCUGAGGUGCGAAAGCGUGGGGAGCAAACAGG